rnacentral:rRNA from 1 species
UCGGCCGCCCUGUUAUCAAAAACAUAGCCUUAUGACACAUAUAUUAGGUGAGCCCUGCCCGGUGAGGUGCUUCAACGGCCGCAGUACCCUGACUGUGCUAAGGUAGCGUAAUCAGUUGGCUUUUAAAUGGAGUCGAGAAUGAAUGGGUCCAUGGGGGAGUGCUGUCUCUAAUUUGGUGUUUUGAAUUUGUUUAGUGGGUGAAAAGCCCCACUCCUAGAAAAAAGACGAGAAGACCCUUAGAAUCUAAAUUAAACUGGUGAUUUAUUCAUAGUGCGUUUUUGUUGGGGCGACAAAGAGGCAAAUUUAACCCUCAUCCGAACGGGACCUACUAGACGACGAUUGUAAGAAGGAUAAGAUUACCUUAGGGAUAACAGCAUAAUUUUUUAAAGUGUUUGUGACCUCGAUGUUGGACUAGGGCCCCUACGACUAGCCGUCGUACAGGCAGAUC